rnacentral:rRNA from 1 species
UACAGAGGGUGCAAGCGUUAAUCGGAAUUACUGAGCGUAAAGCGUGCGUAGACGGUUACAUAAGUCGGGUGUGAAAGUCCUGGGCUUAACCUGGGGACUGCAUUUGAUACUGGGUUGCUUGAAUUCGGGAGAGGAUAGGCGGAAUUCCCAGUGUAGAGGUCGAAAUUCGUAGAUAUUGGGAAGAACACCGGUGGCGAAAGGCGGGCUACU